rnacentral:misc_RNA from 1 species
GCUGAAGAACGCAGCGAAAUGCGAUACGUAAUGUGAAUUGCAGAAUUCAGUGAAUCAUCGAAUCUUUGAACGCACAUUGCACUCUCUGGUAUUCCGGAGAGUAUGCUUGUUUGAGUAUCUGUAAACAUCUCACAUCUCUCUUCAAUUGCUUCAAUUGGGUCGAGAGAAUUGGAUUUGAGCGAUCCCGACUCCUUCGUCAGAAAGAGGAGGGUCGCUUGAAAUGCAGGUGCAGCUGGACAUUCUUCUGAGCAAAAAGCAUAUCUAUUUAGUCCCGUCAAACGGAUUAUUACUUUUGCUUCAGCUAAUAGAAAGGUUGAAUGAACUACCAACGCUGAUUGCAGGAAAACAUGUUCGUUUAUUCGGACUUGUAAACUCGAUCUCAAAUCAAGUAAGACUACCCGCUGAACUUAAGCAUAUCAAUAAGCGGAGGA